CACGUAGGCGGUUUGGUAAGUCGAAUGUGAAAUCUCACGGCUUAACUGUGAAACUAGCGUUCGAAACUACCUGACUUGAGGUACUGGAGAGGUAUGCGGAAUUCCUGGUGUAGCGGUGGAAUGCGUGGAUAUCAGGAAGAACACCAGUGGCGAAGGCGGCAUACUGGCCAAGUACUGACGCUCAGGUGCGAAAGCGUGGGGAGCAAAACG
rnacentral:rRNA from 1 species